GCACUCACAGCUCCGCAUGCCUGGACACAACCUGACUACACCAAGCAGCCCUCAGACUCUUUCCGUGGCCCCUGCCCCAUCGCCUGCAGAUGCAGGUAAAACAGAUGCGUGAGUUCAAAGCACAUGACUCCCCGAGGAGCCAGAGAUGCCAGCUUCCACUUUGAUGUUUAGAACCUUCCUUCCUGGAGUCUUCUGCCCCCUAGUGCAAUCUGGACCAGUUUUCCCUAGGCCUGGGACACAGCUGUCUUUCCGGACUACUCUCCAAUAUUGUCCUGUGCCAAGACUUACUCCUGGGUUGGGAGCAGCCUCCUCUAGCUUACACAAGCAUCAUCAGAGUUCAGAAAUCAGCUUCACAAAACUGGAGAGUGGUGGGUCAGACUGAAAGACCUUCUACUGCCCAAGCCUUACCUGGAGUUUUGCUACUUCCUUCCUGAUCAGGAAGCUGACUUGGUCCCGGUCAUUCCUGGAGUAAUAGAGACGGCACCAGGAAGGCUUCCCAUCCCUGCCAGCCCGGCCAGACUCCUGGUAGUACCCAGCCAUAGACUUGGCAAUAUUCCAAUGGGCGACAAACCUGUAGGAUCCAAAGGGACAAGCAGCAUGAGAUGGUGGAGAAGCUGAGUGUCCUUUGGAGGAGUAAUCAUGACUAGGAGAGCAGGGAGGCCAGCAGAUAGGGAGGGAGAGGGAUAGUCCCAGAGUUAGAAUAGUUAAGACACCUGUAGCCCAUCAGCACGUCUCCCUUCUAGAAGCAGCCCAGCUUAGAGGCCACAGCAGGAGUUAAGGGGGGGCAAAUCCAGCACAUAUGAGGGGCCAAAAAACUCAGCCAGGGCCCAGUGGAAAAAAUACUGGACCUAAAGAAACAAAAUGAGGCUCUGCCACUUAUGAGCUAUGCAAAUUUGAAUAAGUUAUUUAUAACUUCUUUGGAGAGGGAAAGGAAUAAUAUUUAUUAAAUACCUCCUAUGUGCCAGUUUA